CCAGUGCUGUCGAUCAUGUCGUUCGAGUUAAAGAAUCCGAAUCUGGAAAUAUACUGUUCGAUCCAGCUGAAACAACUAAUUCCAGCCUUGUUCAUGAAGGAACAGUGCUGGAGAAGAGGCCUUCCUCAAGAACAGCACCUGGUGAAUCAGAUAAGCAAGAAGAAUUGGGGAUGAGAUCGAGAGACUCGUCGAAGGAUGAAAUCAAUGUGCGGGACAAUUAUACUGCAAUAUCUGAAGACUGGAGAGAAGCAGAGAGAAACCAGUCGACGGCGGUGCAUCCAACCAUUGCUGUUGCUACAGCUGAGCCGGAGGUCCCAUGGCAAGAGGAGUCCGAUUCACCGGAGACGACGAACGACGUAGAGAGUAUCAAGUGACGAUGUGUGAUAGGCUUGUUGUAGCAGUAGUAGUAGUAUGAGAUUAUAAUUUGAUCAUCCAUCACAUGCCUUGAGAUCUUCUGAUCCACAGUGCAGACUUCUGCAUAGAAAUCGACAUGCAAUUAUUUACCUGCUUACGAGAGUCGUGCUUUGGUUGAGCAGCCACAGACAUCAGAUACGAUGGAUGACCG
rnacentral:lncRNA from 1 species